rnacentral:lncRNA from 1 species
AUGGCUUACAAUCUCUUGCCGAAACCGCACAAACCUCCACCUUCUCCUUCGCUGUUUCGCCUGAGGACCGCCACCGAGCCACCACCUGAGCACCGUUGAUCGCCGGAACCACCGUGAACCGCCUGCCGCCUGCCGUCGCCGCCGACGACCGCCGGUAAAACAUCUCAUCCGGGUAAUUCUCUUGUGCACGCUCUCUUUGGGGAAAUCUUUGACUCUUAAUCUUAUUCCAAGA